rnacentral:rRNA from 1 species
GUGUCAGCAGCCGCGGUAAUACAGAGAGUGCAAACGUUGUUCGGAAUUACUGGGCUUAAAGCGCGCGUAGGCGGUGCUGUAAGUGUCGGGUGAAAUCCCACGGCUCACCCGUGGAACUGCCCGGCAGACUGCAGUACUAGAGUGUGGUAGGGGAGAGCGGAACUCCUGGUGGAGCGGUGAAAUGCGUAGAUAUCAGGAGGAACACCGGUGGCGAAGGCGGCUCUCUGGUCCACAACUGACGCUGAGGCGCGAAAGCUAGGGGAGCAAACGGGAUUAGAUACCCCGGUAGUCCUAGCUGUAAACGAUGGGCACUAGCUUGGGGUUUCCCUGUGAAAUCCCAGGUGAAGCAAAAGUGAUAAGUGCCCCGCCUGGGGAGUAUGGUCGCAAGGCUGAA